rnacentral:tRNA from 1 species
GGAGAGUUGUCCGAGUGGCUGAAGGUGCAUGAUUGGAAAUCAUGUGUACAUUCAUAGUGUACCGAGGGUUCGAAUCCCUCAUUCUCCGCCA